UCUCCUGGAAAACGGGUGGUAAUGCCGGAUGCUCCGACUCCUCGCAUGGGGUGUCGGGAAAGAUUUCAUCGGUAUGGGAUGGGGUCGCGUCCUAUCAGGUAGUCGGCGGGGUAACGGCCCACCGAGCCUACGACGGGUAGCCGGCCUGAGAGGGCGACCGGCCACAUUGGGACUGAGAUACGGCCCAGACUCCUACGGGAGGCAGCAGUGGGGAAUAUUGCACAAUGGGCGCAAGCCUGAUGCAGCGACGCCGCGUGCGGGAUGACGGCCUUCGGGUUGUAAACCGCUUUUGAUCGGGAGCAAGCCUUCGGGUGAGUGUACCUUUCGAAUAAGCACCGGCUAACUACGUGCCAGCAGCCGCGGUAAUACGUAGGGUGCAAGCGUUAUCCGGAAUUAUUGGGCGUAAAGGGCUCGUAGGCGGUUCGUCGCGUCCGGUGUGAAAGUCCAUCGCUUAACGGUGGAUCUGCGCCGGGUACGGGCGGGCUGGAGUGCGGUAGGGGAGACUGGAAUUCCCGGUGUAACGGUGGAAUGUGUAGAUAUCGGGAAGAAC
rnacentral:rRNA from 1 species